AACGGCGAGUGAACAGGGAAGAGCCCAGCGCCGAAGCCUCCGUCCCGCGCGGGCGGCAGGCAAUGUGGCGUUCGGGAGAAACCACUCCUUCCGGAAGCUGUCCGGGAGCCCAGGUCCCCCUGACUGGGGCCAUCGCCCGUUGAGGGUGCAAGGCCCGUGCGGCUCUUGGCGUCCGGAGGACGGUUUUUCUUCUCCCGGGAGUCGGGUUGCUUGGGAGUGCAGCCCUAAGAGGGUGGUAAACUCCAUCUAAGGCUAAAUACUUCCACGAGACCGAUAGCAAACAAGUACCGUGAGGGAAAGUUGCAAAGAACUUUGAAGAGAGAGUUCAAGAGUACGUGAAACCGCUCGUAGGCAAACGGGUGGGCCCUCGAAGGCAAGCAGGAGGGGAUUCAACCCGUUGGCAGUCGAACGUGCGCUUCGGUUUUUUCUCGAAACGGAUCCGAGAGACCGGCCCGUGGCGCCGCGGUCGUCAGCGGGCGCACUUCCCCUUCUCGCGUCCCGAUACUACGGUUUCGGGACCGAACGCCGCGACCGGUCGGGAGAUACGACGGCGGCCAAGCGGCGAGACCGGGCAGGUAUCCUACUCGUCCUUUCUGCUUCUUCGGGGGCAGGAUUGCUUGUAGAGAGUUUCAGCCCGUCUCGACCCGGCUCCGCCGCCCGACGUGGUGUAAACCGAGGUUCGAUAACCGCGCAUGCGCUUACGACGCUCGAGCCCGUCUCGCACGUAAGGGUUUCUCUGGGCGCCGAUAGACCCAWAAAAAUUCCCCCCCCGCUCACGGCGGUUACACGAAGCGGUCGCCCUGCGUUGCGUUGGACGUGCGCUCUCGUUAUUCUGUUGGCGCUUGUGGUYGGCGGCGAGUAGGUCGGUAACCCMCCCGMCCCGUYUUGAAACMCGGACCAAGGAGUUUAACAUGUGUGCNAGUYGUAGGGUUCGCUCGAAACCCGAAGGSSCRGUGAAAGUAGAGGUCGGCAUUUARCCCCGGCCGAGGCGGGAUCCGUYUUCCCCAAAAAAAAAUAGUUACUUUUUUUCUCUUUGCCCUUUGUCUUCUGGUUGGGGGCGGCUUAACCCUUUCGGGGGUUGGCCACCUUUCGUUUACUCCGGAUCUUGGGGCAAGUUGACGGCGCACCGCCGGCCCGUCUCGACCGCCGCGUCGGUGAGGCGGAGCAAGAGCACACACGUUGGGACCCGAAAGAUGGUGAACUAUUCCUAGGCAGGACGAAGCCAGAGGAAACUCUGGUGGAGGUCCGUAGCGUUUCUGACGUGCAAAUCGAUCGUCAGACCUGGGUAUAGGGGCGAAAGACUAAUCGAACCAUCUAGUAGCUGGUUCCCUCCGAAGUUUCCCUCAGGAUAGCUGGCUCUCGAGACACACAGUCUCAUCCGGUAAAGCGAAUGAUUAGAGGCCUUGGGGCCGAAACGACCUCAACCUAUUCUCAAACUUUCAAUGGGUGAGAAGUCCGGCUUGCUCGACUGAAGCCCGGACGUCGGAUGCGAGUGCCCAGUGGGCCACUUUUGGUAAGCAGAACUGGCGCUGUGGGAUGAACCAAACGCCGGGUUACGGCGCCAAAUGCGACGCUCAUCAGACACCAUGAAAGGUGUUGGUUGCUAUAGACAGCAGGACGGUGGCCAUGGAAGUCGGAAUCCGCUAAGGAGUGUGUAACAACUCACCUGCCGAAGCAACUAGCCCUGAAAAUGGAUGGCGCUCAAGCGUCGAGCCUAUACCCGGCCGCCGGGGCAGAGCCCGUCAAAACUUUUUCUCUUUCCCUCGCGGGUUGGAGAAGAAAGAAACUUAACGGCCCCAGACGCCCCGGCGAGUAGGAGGGUCGCGGCGGUGAGCGGAAAAGGGUCGGGCGUAGGCCCGCCUGGAGCCUCCGCCGGUGCAGAUCUUGGUGGUAGUAGCAAAUACUCGAGUGAGAACCUUGAGGACUGAUGUGGAGAAGGGUUCCAUGUGAACAGCAGUUGAACAUGGGUCAGUCGGCCCUAAGGAAUAGGGAAAUCCCGUUCCGAACGGGGGGUUGCCUAUUACAAGAAUAUAACCCCCGCCCAGACCGAAAGGGAAUCGGGUUAAUAUUCCCGAACCCGGACACGGAGAUCGGGCCCUUGGUGGUCCAGUGCGGUGACGCAAACCACCUCGGAGACGUCGGCGGGAGUCCCGGGAAGAGUUGUCUUUUCUUUGUAAGGGACGGAAUCCCUGGAAUCGGUUCGCCCGGAGAUAGGGAUGUGGUUUCCGUAAAGCACCGCGCCUCCUGCGGUGUCCGGACAGCUCUCGUCGGCCCUUGAAAAUCCGAGGAAGGUAGUGCGAUUUUCGUGCCGGGCCGUACCCAUAUCCGCAGCAGGUCU
rnacentral:rRNA from 1 species